rnacentral:rRNA from 1 species
GACGAAGGAUGCAAGCGUUAUCCGGAUUCAUUGGGUUUAAAGGGUGCGUAGGUGGCCUUAUAAGUCAGUGGUGAAAUCUCUGGGCUUAACCCAGAAAUUGCCAUUGAUACUGUAGGGCUUGAGUAUAGAUGCCGUUGGCGGAAUAUGACAUGUAGUGGUGAAAUACAUAGAGAUGUCAUAGAACACCGAUUGCGAAGGCAGCUAACGAAACUAUAACUGACACUGAGGCUCGAAAGUGUGGGGAUCAAACAGG